GGAAGUAAUCGAAACAAGGUUUCCGUAGGUGAACCUGCGGAAGGAUCAUUAUUGUAUAACCGAGGUGCGAGGGCUGUCGCUGACCCGAAAGGUCGUGCACGCCCGAGUGCCCUCACACACAUCCAUCUCACCCCUAUGUGCACCACCGCGUGGGUCCCCCUUUGGCUUGUUCGGAGGGGGGCUUACGUUUUCACACAAACUUUGUAUGCAGUGUAGAAUGUAUUUUUUGUUUUUGCGAUCACGCAAUCAAUACAACUUUCAACAACGGAUCUCUUGGCUCUC
rnacentral:misc_RNA from 1 species